GGGGCACGGGGGGAACGCGAAGAACCUUACCAGCCCUUGACAUGUCUAUGACCGGUACCAGAGAUGGAACCUUCCCUUCGGGGCAUAGAGCACAGGCUGCAUGGCUGUCGUCAGCUCGUGUCGUGAGAUGUUGGGUUAAGUCCCGCAACGAGCCAACCCCCGUCCUUAGUUGCUACCAUUUAGUUGAGCACUCUAAGGAGACUGCCGGUGAUANCCGCGAGGAAGGUGGGGAUGACGUCAAGUCCUCAUGGCCCUUACGGGCUGGGCUACAACGUGCUACAAUGGCGGUGACAAUGGGAUGCAAAGGGGCGACCCCUCGCAAAUCUCAAAA
rnacentral:rRNA from 1 species